AUUGAACGCUGGCGGCAUGCCUUACACAUGCAAGUCGAACGGCAGCACGGGUGCUUGCCCCUGGUGGCGAGUGGCGAACGGGUGAGUAAUACAUCGGAACAUGUCCUGUAGUGGGGGAUAGCCCGGCGAAAGCCGGAUUAAUACCGCAUACGAUCUACGGAUGAAAGCGGGGGACCUUCGGGCCUCGCGCUAUAGGGUUGGCCGAUGGCUGAUUAGCUAGUUGGUGGGGUAAAGGCCUACCAAGGCGACGAUCAGUAGCUGGUCUGAGAGGACGGCCAGCCACACUGGGACUGAGACACGGCCCAGACUCCUACGGGAGGCAGCAGUGGGGAAUUUUGGACAAUGGGCGAAAGCCUGAUCCAGCAAUGCCGCGUGUGUGAAGAAGGCCUUCGGGUUGUAAAGCACUUUUGUCCGGAAAGAAAUCCUUGGCCCUAAUACGGUCGGGGGAUGACGGUACCGGAAGAAUAAGCACCGGCUAACUACGUG
rnacentral:rRNA from 1 species